rnacentral:rRNA from 1 species
UUAGGAAUAUUGGACAAUGGGCGCAAGCCUGAUCCAGCCAUGCCGCGUGAGUGAUGAAGGCCUUCGGGUUGUAAAGCUCUUUUCUUAGGGAAGAAGAAAGUGACGGUACCUAAGGAAUCAGCAUCGGCUAACUCCGUGCCAGCAGCCGCGGUAAUACGGAGGAUGCAAGCGUUAUCCGGAAUUAUUGGGCGUAAAGCGUCCGCAGGUGGCACUUCAAGUCUGCUGUCAAAGACCAGAGCUCAACUCUGGGCAGGCGGUGGAAACUGGGGAGCUAGAGUACGGUAGGGGUAGAGGGAAUUUCCAGUGUAGCGGUGAAAUGCGUAGAGAUUGGAAAGAACACCAGUGGCGAAGGCGCUCUACUGGACCUGUACUGACACUAAGGGACGAAAGCUAGGGGAGCGAAAGGGAUUAGAUACCCCCGUAGUCC